rnacentral:rRNA from 1 species
UACGUAGGGUGCGAGCGUUAAUCGGAAUUACUGGGCGUAAAGCGUGCGCAGGCGGUCUGUUAAGACCGAUGUGAAAUCCCCGGGCUUAACCUGGGAACUGCAUUGGUGACUGGCAGGCUUUGAGUGUGGCAGAGGGAGGUAGAAUUCCACGUGUAGCAGUGAAAUGCGUAGAUAUCUGGAGGAACACCGGUGGCGAAGGCGGCAUCCUGGACCGGGCAUUGACGCUGAGGCGCGAAAGCCAGGGGAGCAAACGGG